GCUACUUUAAGAGAAGUGCUGGGUCCUGCAGUGUAGAAAGACUGCAAUUGCUCUGGCGUGGAGAGCAUCCUCGGCUGCAGCCAGUCCACCCACUGCAAUGGCUACUCCCAAAGAUACGGCACACCAGAAAUCAAGGAUCAAAGACAUGGGGAAAUUCUAGCAAAACAAAUCCGUGCUAUGCAGCAGCAUCUGCGAAGCAGCCAGUGAACCAAGAAGUCCAUUACUUGCCCAGUCCUGCCUGCAGUGCCUUCUUUCCUUAUGGGCUCUGGACCUGCCCCAUCUCCAUCUCUGCAGAACCAAACCUUUGGCGGUUUAGCAAGCUUCCCUUGACCUCAUCACUGUCACCAGAGACAAGAAUCAAGCCCUGUGGGAACUGGCUGCUCCUAACCAGACAGAGCAGUUUCUGGCAGCCAGAGCCAUAGAGGUGACUAAUCAAUCUAGUGUCAACAGCUGACACAGUUCAGCUCCACUCCAGCUGCAUCCUGUCAAAACCCCGGCAAAGAAAACCAAUCGAGAGACGCUGCAGGAACAAUGCAAAGUUGGGCAGGAGGAAGGGGGGGGCCCAGGAUGGGUCCAGUGCAGUUACCACAGUGUAAACCAACAGCCAGGGAGACUGUGUGCUCUGAGCUGGUCCCAGCAGGCGUGAGAGCAGAUUAGGGUGCCCCCUGCACAGCGCAGAGCUCACCAGGGGAUUUGUCAGAGACCAAAGGUUUUCGUGGUGUUGUAACUCGACUUCAUGAACACAGCUGCGAAUGGGAGGGCGGCCCCUUCACAAACCUGCCGUAGGAAAGGAAGGUUUCUUCCUGGGUGUGGUUUGGAACCUCCUGGAUUAGCACUUGCAGCACCGUUAGUUCUAUCUGACCCCCCUUGCCAUGGAUCUGAGUGCCCUGAUCUGUAAAGGCUGUAUCCUGCGAGCCAGGGCAGGACUAUUAUCCCCAGAGGGGAACUGAUGCACCCAGACUAAGUGACUUACCCAGGGUCAUACAGGAAGUCUGUGGCAAAGCAGGGAAUUGAACCUGGCUGUGACCACUGACUCAUCCAUCCUUGUGAACUGACGUAAAGCAGCAAUGUGAGACGUGGUGUUACAACAGCCAAAAGCCCAGACUCAGCCCUGAGCUGUUAGUGAAUGAAACCAGGGUCCGUUCACUGGCUGGGGAAAAUAAACCUUCCUCUAGCUCAGCUGCCUCCUUUGUUGGGCACAGACCGAGCCGGGGAGCGGUAGAAAUAACACUUCGUGAGCCUGUAUUUUAAGACACCAUCUAUGGCCUUUGUUUUCCCAUGUUAAUUCCGCCACCCCACACUCAGCUAUGCUCACUGCAGUUACUGCUGGGGCAGGACCCAGUGGUCAGGAGAGAAAAGGGAAUCCUAGACGACUCAUCGUUUCCUUCGGAGCAGGAAAUCCAGCACCUUUAGCUAGAUUUGGCUUCCACAGAUCGUGCCAGGGCCCUGCACUGAUGCAUGUCGCCAAGGGUUCCACGCGUAACGCCUGCUUUCCUUGUGUCCCUCAGGCAUACAAACCCAUCCCUGUCAUGUUCGCAUCCCCUGCCUGCCCCUAUCCCCUGCCACUGCCGCCUCCUCAGGAUCUUGCCUCUCGGAAGAGCAGGCUGGCGUGCCAUGGUCUCAGCCUCUGGCAGCAGAAAGGGUUAAUCUAUCCCUGCUAUUAUCCACCAGGGCCCACAGGGAGGCAAGGCAGGGAACAGCCUGUUUUCCUGCCGGAAGCGUAAGCUCCUUGGCCAGAUGGCAGAGCUCCUACCCCAGACUCGCCACACUACACUGGAGUAGCUUCAGCUCCCUCUCAAGCAUGUUCAUCUGGGCAGGCUGCAGGGGACCCAGCUCCCAGCCGAACCAACGCCCGGAGCAAGAGAGAGGUCGUCCGGGCCUGCCCAGCUGGGAGGUGCAGCCAGAGGGCGGGAUCACUGGAUUAGAGAGGUGAGGAAGAGGAGGGCUGCUGCAGCUCAGACGAGGCUUUAGUCAUUGAGUGCAUUGUCCUGGCCUCCUAGCAUGACCUCCCCAUCCCACUCCCAACCCGUGGUAACGCAGUAUCUUUACGACCUGCUUCAUGAAUGCCACUGCUGAGCAUGGAUGUGCUUUGCUAGAAUCCCCAUUUCAGUGGGGUUGAAAUCCUGGCCCCUGCAAUGCCAGUGGCCCAGGGGCCACCCACGCAGUGGGGCUGGGGAGGUGCAGGGGCAGACAUGGCGUGGGGAGCGGUGCACCAUGGAGCAACAGCCCUCAUGUGAGCAUGGGCCGGAGCAGAGCUGGCCUUGGCACCCAUCCCGAAGGAGCAGGUCUGUAGCCUGGUGGGCAGAGCGAUCCAGUGCGGGCUUUCACCCCCAGUGAGGGGGCUGGGAGAGCUGAGGGCCAGACUUCGGGGCCCAGCUGCACCGGCUCGCAGGGUGGGGCCAGCUACUGGCAGAGGCUGAGGGAGCCCAGAACUUGCCUUUUGUUUUACCCUUUCCCUGCUAGCUGGAGCAGGAGCAUUAUCCCUGCCCGCGCCGCUCCUGCUCUGGGGGAAGACUAGGCCCAGGGAUGCAGGCAGUAUGCUGGGUCCUGCAGGAGCUUCCAGCAGCUCAGAGGAAACCAGCGUCUCCUCAAAGGAGACAAAGAAACUGACCGUGCACAGGAACCAGACGCCUGAGUUCCCGGCUCAGGAGCGCUAACCCCGGGGGUGUCUGAGCGGAGCACUUACUGCUUGUCCGUUGACAUGGACACAGGUACAGUGAGGCUGGACUCCUGAUCUCUUCCCCCAUGCACAGGCUUAGACGGUGCUGCUGGGUUUCCCCUCUGCCUUGCAUGUGGUUGUGGCUUAGCUGUUAGCAGGGCUGUCUGAGAACAGAUGCUAACAGUCAAUCAGCUGCCCCAGUCAUCCUAGUGGGGAAGCCCUCUGCCCACUCCCUCCCCACCCCCCAAUUAUAACUGGUUCUUACAAGGAGACUGCUCUGGGAGUGGGAGGGGCACUACAAUUUGAGCUCCCUUUAAAUGCUCCUGUGUCCGUUUGGAAUGAUCCCACCCCUCAUGUCUAACCAGCAGCCCAGACUGUCUCUCCCAUUAUCAUCCGCUUCGAAGAGGCUAUUGCAAAUAUGGAGCCAAAUCCAGCACGUCAGCCUCCAGCAAAUCUCCCGGUGCUGUCAGGAGGAAGCGUGAUGCUGAGUGAGGAUUGAAGGGUUUGGCCUUUGAGGGUAAAAAAACCUUCUGGCAGCACAAGAGUGAGCUAGCGGGCGGCGCCUAGCUGGGGGAUGCGCCUUUGACUUCGAGAGCUGUUGUUUCUGACUAGUCAGUGCGAUUGCUGGCUGCAGACGGGGGUUCUGACGGGCGGCUGCUCACAGGGCAGCCCAGGGUGAGGGACGGUGAAUGGGCUGUUAGCAUACACGCAUUUGCCAACACGCUGCAGAGACAGGGUCCAAGCCCGUCUGGUCAGACCAGAGAAGCGUUGAUAGGAAAUCGACAGCUCUGCAGAGGACAUGCUGAUGGCAUAUUGGAUUUGUAUUUAGGGAACCUAAUCUAAAUUUCCAAGAGCCCCAAGUGCUGCCUGCAGCCAGCCUUGUCCCAGCAGACAGAACCAGAAUUGCCCCAUUACCCAUCUGUCCCCUCGUCCUCAGCCACCUGCUCUGGCUUUCCAUACAUCUCUCCCCCUGCUCCCUCCCCUCCUGUUCUGUUCUGGGUUGUUAUACCGCACUCCUCCCCAAAAUACUGUACUCCGGGUAGCGCUCAGACUCAACCCCCGCAUUAUCCCAGCUUACGCAGCUUUAUAAGUACCCUGUGCUGGCCAGUGGCACCCCUGGAGCACCCAUCCUCUGACCCCUUUACUGGCUUCCUGCUUAAUCACCCUCCAUUACCUUCCCUGGCUUUCUGUCCAUCCCCUCCCCAUCAUCCUCUGUCACCUUCCCUGGCUUCCAGUCCAUGCCUAGCCACCUCCUGCGCCACCUUCUCUUGGCUUCCUGCAGAUCUCUUUUAAAGCUGUACCUCUCUGUGGACUCACUCAUCUUUCCCAUGACCCUCUGCAGCUGGGUCGCUCUUCCUUGGGCUACUCGUUUCUGGAAUGGUCUCUUACACACCGCCCCCGCCCCCUGCCUCCUCACUGAGUCACUUCCUUUAGGCUGCCUCUCACUGCAGAUCAUUUUGCGGUGCUGCAUGCACUCCAGGGCUGGUCCCCGGGGCCACACCACUCAGCGAGUACUUCGGUGGGAACCACUGCAGCACACAGACUAGCAGCAUGUGAACCCGGGUGGCACACUGGCACUUGCAGGAGCUGAUCCGUUCAGCCUCCGUUAUCUCACUCCUGAGGAUAUUAGUUAAAACCACCAGCACCCGUUGAAAAUGGUGCCAGUAUUCAGUUCAGUUGCCCUGUACACACAUGCCCAUGAGCUAUCCUUGCUCAUUUUCCCCGAUUCACUGCCUGCCCCAGGGCCAUACUCAUCAGGGCUGGCGCUGGGUCGGUCCCAAGGAGACGUGAGAGUGUAGUGCUUACUGAACUCACUCCCUUUGAUCCACACAAGUUGUAUCUUAAGUUUCUACUUGUUAUGAAUACACUGACAACGGUACCUCUGUGUAGUGUAUCUUCAGCAGCUGGAAAUGUGGAUGGAGACCCCCCCUGCCCAGCCCCCCAUGGCCACCCCAGCAGAAUGGCUGAGCCAGCUAAGGAGAAGAAGGAAGAGGACUGGAGAAGACAUGUCCCAAGAGAUCCUGCAAGUCUCCAGUGCUUCACAUAACGAGCACAGGGCUGAGAGGUUCACCCUUGCAGACAACAUGGACGGGGCAGAGCAGAGAGGAGAAGUAGAGGGAUGUGCAGCAGGCACUGCUUGUGCUUCUCAGGCAGCAGACAGACAUGCUGCUGACUCUGGUGGACCUGCAAGUUCAACAAUCCUCUGCCCACUUCCCUCUGCUGCCCAUGGGUGGCUGAUGACCCGGCUGUUGGGGGAGGCUACCCCCGACCCCUCCCCUUGUGCCCAAGCACAUAACCCUCCCCAUCUGCCCCCUCCCCUGCAGGAGCCCAGAGCACCCCCACUGCAGCUUCUGGCCCCAGCCCCGAUGCGCCAGGCUGCAUGGCCGCGGGGACCAGUCCUGGAGUGCUGGUCGGCUGGGCCAGCACCAUCUGCCAAGUCCCUGUGGGAGGCAGGCCAGCCAGCCUAGGCCAGCCAGGGCAGAGCACUGGGAACUGCAGGAGGGGGCCUGGCCUGGGGGCAGAGAAUGGGCAGGGCCAUGCUAGGCUGUUUGGAGAGGCACAGCCUCUCGCUGUCUACAAUGCCUGCCUGCCUUGCUGCAGCCUCUAGAGAACUGCAUAUCAGGACCUCCCUAUAUUCCACCCCCCACACCUCUGCCUUCUAUGGGGCGUCCAGGGCUGCUGCACAACUCCUACCACUCCACUCUGGGGGAGAGUACAGACAGUCACAGCCGCACAUAUGCCAACCGUGUCUUUCACAGUUCAGCAUUUGUGCAUCUGAAAUAGAAAUGACUGGUCUUUUCCCCUUCAUUUAUUACGUUAUAAAUGAGUUUCUAUCCACGGUGUUAUGCAAUAAAACCGUGGUUUUGGAAACAUCA